UGUGAUUGGAACUGGGUGUGGGGAGCUGGUCUAGAACCCACGACUUCAAUUCUUGUCCAGGCUGAGAAGGCCGUGUCCUGGGCCUGGCGCUCAUGGCAUGUUAACGGCGGUGGGGUGCCCCUGUGGUUGUGGGCGCCACCCAGGCCAGCUGCCCGCUGGCGAAAUGGGCUUGGUCUCUUCCUGCUCCGCACACUUUGACAUCAGCUCGUUGUGGCUCCCUGUCUCUGCUCUCCCGGGUGGCCAGUGACGCUGUGCGGGGUGCAGCGCCUGUGCUGUCUGCUUCUGAAGGAAUAACUGAGAAGCUGGAGACCA
rnacentral:lncRNA from 1 species